rnacentral:lncRNA from 1 species
UCAUUGCUGUGGUGUCAUGGCCGCCGAGGUGUCAUGGCUGCCGUCGAGGUAUCAUGGCUGCCAUCGAGGUGUCAUGGCCGCCAGGGUGUCAUGGCUGCCAUCGGGGUGUCAUGGCCGCCAUCGAGGUGUCAUGGCUGCCGUCAGGGUGUCAUGGCCACCAGGGUGUCAUGGCUGCUGGGGUGGUGUCAUGGCUGCCAGGGUGUCAUGGCCGCCUUGGUGGUGUCAGCGCUGCCUUUGGGGUCGUCACGGUGAGCACCACGAUGACGUCACACCAACCACGAUGACCUCAAGCCAACCUUGUUGA